rnacentral:rRNA from 1 species
AGCGAAACGGGAAGAGCCCAAACCAACAAGCUUGCUUGUUGGGGUUGUAGGACACUCUAUACGGAGUUACAAAGGACGACAUUAGACGAAUCAUCUGGAAAGAUGAAUCAAAGAAGGUAAUAAUCCUGUAGUCGAAAAUGUUGUCUCUCUUGAGUGGAUCCUGAGUACGACGGAGCACGUGAAAUUCCGUCGGAAUCUGGGAGGACCAUCUCCUAAGGCUAAAUACUCUCUAGUGACCGAUAGUGAACCAGUACCGUGAGGGAAAGGUGAAAAGCACCCCGGAAGGGGAGUGAAAUAGAACCUGAAACCGUGUGCUUACAAGUAGUCAGAGCCCGUUAAUGGGUGAUGGCGUGCCUUUUGUAGAAUGAACCGGCGAGUUACGAUUUGAUGCAAGGUUAAGCAGUAAAUGUGGAGCCGUAGCGAAAGCGAGUCUGAAUAGGGCGUUUAGUAUUUGGUCGUAGACCCGAAACCAGGUGAUCUACCCUUGGUCAGGUUGAAGUUCAGGUAACACUGAAUGGAGGACCGAACCGACUUACGUUGAAAAGUGAGCGGAUGAACUGAGGGUAGCGGAGAAAUUCCAAUCGAACCUGGAGAUAGCUGGUUCUCUCCGAAAUAGCUUUAGGGCUAGCCUCAAGUGAUGAUUAUUGGAGGUAGAGCACUGUUUGGACGAGGGGCCCCUCUCGGGUUACCGAAUUCAGACAAACUCCGAAUGCCAAUUAAUUUAACUUGGGAGUCAGAACAUGGGUGAUAAGGUCCGUGUUCGAAAGGGAAACAGCCCAGACCACCAGCUAAGGUCCCAAAAUAUAUGUUAAGUGGAAAAGGAUGUGGCGUUGCCCAGACAACUAGGAUGUUGGCUUAGAAGCAGCCAUCAUUUAAAGAGUGCGUAAUAGCUCACUAGUCGAGUGACACUGCGCCGAAAAUGUACCGGGGCUAAACAUAUUACCGAAGCUGUGGAUUGUCCUUUGGACAAUGGUAGGAGAGCGUU